GGUGCUGUCUAGCUCAACAGGUAGAGCAUGGCAUUAACAUUGCCAGGGUUAAAGGUUCGAUUCCCACUGGGAGGGACCACCGA